rnacentral:rRNA from 1 species
GCGAAAGCCUGACGGAGUAAUACCGCGUGAGGGAAGAAGGCCUGUGGGUUGUAAACCUCUUUUCUCAGGGAAGAAGAUCUGACGGUACCUGAGGAAUAAGCAUCGGCUAACUCCGUGCCAGCAGCCGCGGUAAGACGGAGGAUGCAAGCGUUAUCCGGAAUCAUUGGGCGUAAAGCGUCCGCAGGUGGCUCUUCAAGUCUGUCGUCAAAGACUGGGGCUUAACCCUGGAAAGGCGGUGGAAACUGAAGCGCUAGAGUGUGGUAGGGGUAGAGGGAAUUCCCGGUGUAGCGGUGAAAUGCGUAGAGAUCGGGAAGAACAUCGGUGGCGAAAGCGCUCUACUGGACCACAACUGACACUCAGGGACGAAAGCUAGGGGAGCG